rnacentral:rRNA from 1 species
GAUGAACGCUGGCGGCGUGCCUAAUACAUGCCAGUCGAGCGAACAGACGAGGAGCUUGCUCCUCUGACGUUAGCGGCGGACGGGUGAGUAACACGUGGAUAACCUACCUAUAAGACUGGGAUAACUUCGGGAAACCGGAGCUAAUACCGGAUAAUAUAUUGAACCGCAUGGUUCAAUAGUGAAAGACGGUUUUGCUGUCACUUAUAGAUGGAUCCGCGCCGCAUUAGCUAGUUGGUAAGGUAACGGCUUACCAAGGCAACGAUGCGUAGCCGACCUGAGAGGGUGAUCGGCCACACUGGAACUGAGACACGGUCCAGACUCCUACGGGAGGCAGCAGUAGGAAAUCUUCCGCAAUGGGCGAAAGCCAGACGGAGCAACGCAGCGUGAGUGAUGAAGGUCUUCGGAUCGUAAAAAUCUGUUAUUAGGGAAGAACAAAUGUGUAAGUAACUAUGCACGUCUAGACAGUACCUAAUCAGAAAGACACGGCUAACUACGUG